rnacentral:rRNA from 1 species
AGGAAAUAAUUCUAAACAAAACCUAUAUAUAAUGGUGGCAUAUUUCCUAUUAGAGGAACUUGUUUAAUAAUCGAUAACCCACGUUAUAUUUCACUUUUAUCAAAAAUUUAUAUACCGCCAUCUAAAGAAUUGAUUUAUAAAUCUUUUUCAUAAUAAUUUAUAAAAAGUUAGGUCAAGGUAUAAUUAAUAUAAAAGAUUCAAAUGAGUUACACUAAAAACAAUUUAAAAAAAUAUAUAACAAUUUUCUAAAAAAGAAUUUAUUAGUAAUAUAAUAUUAAUUUAUAUAUAUAUAUAUAUAUACAUUUAUAUUUAAUUAUAAUAAUAAUAAUUUUAUAUGAACUUAAUAAAAAAUGUGC